rnacentral:misc_RNA from 1 species
ACACCUCAACUCUCACGGCUUGCCUGUGAUGAGCUUGGACUUUGGGGGUCUUGCUGGCCUGUGGUCGGCUCCUCUCGAAUAAAUUAGCUCGCCGGUGUUUGGUGGGGUCACAGGUGUGAUAACUAUCUACGCUUGCGGUUUUCCACCGGGUAACCUUCAGCAAUGGAGGUUCACCGGAGCUUACAAAUGUCUCUCCUCAGUGAAGACAGAUUUUGACC